AUGCGUAGCCGACCUGAGAGGGUGAUCGGCCACACUGGGACUGAUACACGGCCCAGACUCCUACGGGAGGCAGCAGUAGGGAAUCUUCCGCAAUGGGCGAAAGCCUGACGGAGCAAUGCCGCGUGAGUGAUGAAGGUUUUCGGAUCGUAAAGCUCUGUUGCCAGGGAAGAACGCUUGAGAGAGUAACUGCUCUCAAGGUGACGGUACCUGAGAAUAAAGCCCCGGCUAACUACGUGCCACCAGCCGCGGUAAUACGUAGGGGGCAAGCGUUGUCCGGAAUUAUUGGGCGUAAAGCGCGCGCAAGCGGUCAUUUAAGUCUGGUGUUUAAUCCCGGGGCUCAACCCCGGAUCGCACUGGAAACUGGGUGACUUGAGUGCAGAAGAGGAGAGUGGAAUUCCACGUGUAGCGGUGAAAUGCGUAGAUAUGUGGAGGAACACCAGUGGCGAAGGCGACUCUCUGGGCUGUAACUGACGCUGAUGCGCGAAAGCGUGGGGAGCAAACACGAUUAGAUACCCUG
rnacentral:rRNA from 1 species